GUGGGGAAUAUUGGACAAUGGGCGCAAGCCUGAUCCAGCCAUGCCGCGUGAGUGAUGAAGGCCUUAGGGUUGUAAAGCUCUUUCAGUGGGGACGAUAAUGACGGUACCCACAGAAGAAGCCCCGGCUAACUUCGUGCCAGCAGCCGCGGUAAUACGAAGGGGGCUAGCGUUGUUCGGAUUUACUGGGCGUAAAGCGCACGUAGGCGGAUCGUUAAGUCGGGGGUGAAAUCCUGGAGCUCAACUCCAGAACUGCCUUCGAUACUGGCGAUCUGGAGUCCGGAAGAGGUGAGUGGAACUCCUAGUGUAGAGGUGGAAUUCGUAGAUAUUAGGAAGAACACCAGUGGCGAAGGCGGCUCACUGGUCCGGUACUGACGCUGAGGUGCGAAAGCGUGGGGAGCAAACAGGAUUAGAAACCCUUGUAGUCC
rnacentral:rRNA from 1 species